rnacentral:rRNA from 1 species
AACGAGCGCUGGCGGCAUGCCUAACACAUGCAAGUCGAACGAGACCUUCGGGUCUAGUGGCGCACGGGUGCGUAACGCGUGGGAACCUGCCCUUAGGUUCGGAAUAACUCCCCGAAAGGGGUGCUAAUACCGGAUAAUGUCUUCGGACCAAAGAUUUAUCGCCUUUGGAUGGGCCCGCGUUGGAUUAGAUAGUUGGGAGGGUUAAAGCCUACCAAGGCGACGAUCCAUAGCUGGUCUGAGAGGAUGAUCAGCCACACUGGGAUGGAGACACGGCCCAGACUCCUACGGGAGGCAGCAGUGGGGAAUAGUGGACAAUGGGCGAAAGCCUGAUCCAGCAAUGCCGCGAGAGUGAUGAAGGCCUGAGAGUUGUAAAGCUCUUUUACCCAGGAUGAUAAUGACAGUACCGGGAGAAUAAGCUCCGGCUAACUCCGUG